rnacentral:rRNA from 1 species
GAGCUCGUAGGCGGUUUGUUGCGUCGGCUGUGAAAACCUGAGGCUCAACCUCAGGCCUGCAGUCGAUACGAGCAGACUAGAGUGUUGCAGGGGAGACUGGAAUUCCUGGUGUAGCGGUGAAAUGCGCAGAUAUCAGGAGGAACACCGGUGGCGAAGGCGGGUCUCUGGGCAACAACUGACGCCGAGGAGCGAAAGCGUGGGGAGCGAACAGGAUUAGAUACCCUGGUAGUCCACGCCGUAAACGUUGGGCGCUAGGUGUGGGGCUCAUUCCACGAGUUCCGUGCCGCAGCUAACGCAUUAAGCGCCCCGCCUGGGGAGUACGGCCGCAAGGCUAAAACUCAAAGGAAUUGACGGGGGCCCGCACAAGCGGCGGAGCAUGUUGCUUAAUUCGAUGCAACGCGAAGAACCUUACCUAGGCUUGACAUGCACGGAAAUCCUCCAGAGAUGGUGGGUCCGCAAGGGUCGUGCACAGGUGGUGCAUGGUUGUCGUCAGCUCGUGUCGUGAGAUGUUGGGUUAAGUCCCGCAACGAGCGCAACCCUCGUUCUAUGUUGCCAGCACGUAAUGGUGGGGACUCAUAGGAGACUGCCGGGGUCAACUCGGAGGAAGGUGGGGAUGACGUCAAAUCAUCAUGCCCCUUAUGUCUAGGGCUGCAAACAUGCUACAAUGGCCGGUACAAAGGGCUGCGAUACCGCGAGGUGGAGCGAAUCCCAAAAAGCCGGUCUCAGUUCGGAUUGGGGUCUGCAAUUCGACCCGAUGAAGUUGGAGUCGCUAGUAAUCGCAGAUCAGCAA